rnacentral:pre_miRNA from 1 species
AGCCUCCUUAAACAGUGCCAAGAUUUCAUCGGACACCAUUCUAUCAGGAUUGAUGAGACUCGCAUGAUAAAUGAAGCG